rnacentral:sRNA from 1 species
UCCUAGCCCUGAUUGCAAUGGCAUCCUUUUUGGGUGCGGCGAAGCGAAGCGGAGCCGUACCCAAAAAGAUAUAAUGGAAAGCAGGAAAUAGC